rnacentral:rRNA from 1 species
UAGUGGAAGGCCUCUGGAAGGGGUCGCCAUAGAGGGUGAGAGCCCCGUACACGAAAACCGGUUCUCUCCCGAGUUGUAUCCCAAGUAGCACCGAGCCCGUGAAAUUCGGUGUGAAUCUGGCGGGACCACCCGCUAAGCCUAAAUAUUCCCUGGUGACCGAUAGCGGACAAGUACCGUGAGGGAAAGGUGAAAAGCACCCCGACGAGGGGAGUGAAACAG